rnacentral:rRNA from 1 species
AGUGAACGCUGGCGGUAGGCCUAACACAUGCAAGUCGAACGGGAGCACAGUAAGAGCUUGCUCUUACGGGUGGCGAGUGGCGGACGGGUGAGGAAUACAUCGGAAUCUACUUUUUCGUGGGGGAUGACGUAGGGAAACGUACGCUGAUAUCGCAGACGACCUACGGGGGAAAGCAGGGGAUGUGCGGACCGUGCGGGAUUGAAUGAGCCGAUGUCGGAUUAGGUGGUUGGCGGGGGUAAGGCCCACCAAGGCGACGGUUCGUGGCUGGUCCGGGCGGGUGGUGAGGCACACCGGAACUGAGACACGGUCCCGGCCCCUACGGGGGGGAGCAGUGGGGAAUAUUGGACAAUGGGGGGAAGCCCGAUCCAGCCAUAGCGCGGGGGUGAAGGAGGCCUUGGGGUUCGAAAGCCAUUUUUUUUGGAGAAAAAAGCAUCAGUUUAAUACCCCGCUGGUCUGACGGUACCCAAAGAAGAAGCACCGGCUAACUUCGUG